GUUUGAUCCUGGCUCAGAAUCAACGCUGGCGGCGUGCGUAACACAUGCAAGUCGAACGCGAAAGUCCCGCAAGGGAUUAGUAGAGUGGCAAACGGGUGAGUAACACGUGGGUGACCUGCCUUCGAGUGGGGGAUAACGUCCCGAAAGGGACGCUAAUACCGCGUGACAUCCUGCCUUUGAAGAGGUGGAGCUUAAAGCUGGGGAUCGCAAGACCUGGCGCUUGAAGAGGGGCCCGCGCCUGAUUAGCUAGUUGGUGAGGUAACGGCUCACCAAGGCAUCGAUCAGUAUCCGGCCUGAGAGGGCGGACGGACACACUGGGACUGAGACACGGCCCAGACUCCUACGGGAGGCAGCAGUGGGGAAUUGUUCGCAAUGGGCGCAAGCCUGACGACGCAACGCCGCGUGGAGGAUGAAGAUCUUCGGGUCGUAAA
rnacentral:rRNA from 1 species